rnacentral:rRNA from 1 species
CUGGAACGCGCCCCAGGCGCACCCAGAAACCCUUUGUGAACUUAUACCUUACUGUUGCCUCGGCGCUAGCUGGUCCUUCGGGGCCCCUCACCCUCGGGUGUUGAGACAGCCCGCCGGCGGCCAACCUAACUCUUGUUUUUACACUGAAACUCUGAGAAUAAAACAUAAAUGAAUCAAAACUUUCAACAACGGAUCUCUUGGUUCUGGCAUCGAUGAAGAACGCAGCGAAAUGCGAUAAGUAAUGUGAAUUGCAGAAUUCAGUGAAUCAUCGAAUCUUUGAACGCACAUUGCGCCCUCUGGUAUUCCGGAGGGCAUGCCUGUUCGAGCGUCAUUUCAACCCUCAAGCCUGGCUUGGGGAUGGGGCACUGCCUGUAAAAGGGCAGGCCCUGAAAUUCAGUGGCGAGCUCGCCAGGACCCCGAGCGCAGUAGUUAAACCCUCGCUUUGGAAGGCCCUGGCGGUGCCCUGCCGUUAAACCCCCAACUUCUGAAAAU